UAAUUCUUUUUUUAUGGUGCAAAAAUGUGUCCAACCAAAAAGCUUGCUGUCAAAUGGCACGUGGUGAUUUCUGAAGGCCAGUCCUCUGUGGCCCCAGACAACUGGAUAAUUUGGGAAACGUGGGAACUUUUCCAUCCACAAAAAAAAACCAGGCUUCUCGAAUAUAUCUGAGGCCGACGGUAUUUAUGAUGAAGCUCUUAAAGCUGAGAUACAGAGCUGAGAUUUCUCCGCGAACGAUGAAGCAUACAAAACAUUGAUGCCACAGGUUAAUCCUUGCAUAACAAGAAAAAUUAAAAAGACUAUUCAGUUGCCGCCUUUGUCUACCAGUUUGGCAACUGCUAAGCCAAAAAGCGAGAGGUUCCAACAAAAAUGGAAGUUUCUUCAAACUCAAGAAAUACUAUACAAAGAAUGAAAAAGUUGUAGGUGCUUCUGAAGAUGCAAUGUGCCGUACAAAACCCAAGGAUAGGAGGUCAAAGGAAAGACGUUCGAGGUCAAGGGAGAAUACUCUAGAGCAGGGCUC